UGGGGAAUAUUGGACAAUGGGCGAAAGCCUGAUCCAGCAAUGCCGCGUGAAGGAUGAAGUAUUUCGGUAUGUAAACUUCGUAAGAAUAGGAAGAAUAAAUGACGGUACUAUUUGUAAGGUCCGGCUAACUACGUGCCAGCAGCCGCGGUAAUACGUAGGGACCAAGCGUUGUUCGGAUUUACUGGGCGUAAAGGGCGCGUAGGCGGUGUGUCAAGUCAGUUGUGAAAUCUCCGAGCUUAACUCGGAACGGUCAACUGAUACUGUCACACUAGAGUACAGAAGGGGCAAUCGGAAUUCUUGGUGUAGCGGUGAAAUGCGUAGAUAUCAAGAGGAACACCUGAGGCGAAGGCGGGUUGCUGGGCUGAUACUGACGCUGAGGCGCGAAAGCUAGGGUAGCAAACGGGGAUUAGAUACCCACGUAGUCCCUGAGCGGGCUGGCAAGGCGCAU
rnacentral:rRNA from 1 species